UACGCGGAUUUUUCAUUUAUUAUUAUUAUUAUUCAUGCUUGUUUUUUUUUGAGAUAUUCGAGUAUUUAAUCUAGUAUUUUAUCAUAGAUAGACUUUACAUUAUCGGUGUUUGUUUUUAAGGUAAGUAGAAAUCCAUUUAUGAGCAUUUCCAUUUGUUGAAACGUAAUUUCAGGUGAUGCCCGAUUAUCCGAGGUUUUACCGAUUCAGUCUACAUAUCUGAACCUGAGUUCUUAUCGCAUAAAGGAAAGAUCAUAGAUAGUGAGGAAAUUUGUCGAACUUCUAUCGCAUGAACUCCAACUAUAUAAAUUGUUUGUCCCUAGACAAGUUCACAUACAGUAAUAAGCAAAACUGAACACACGCUCUUUAAAACUCUUGCAACAACUAUUUUAAAAUUCGACCAAACGAAUUGAUUCUUUCUUUGAAAAGUUAGAUGGAUUAGUCGACUGGACUAAAAUUGUUGUUGCAAUUUUUAAAACAUUAUUCUAUCUUAACGGCUGUGUAUUCAGUUUUGCAUAUUAUCGUAAAUAGAGUUCUAUCGUAUUGAAGUAUUUAAUGCACGUGUAUGAGCUUCUCAGAAACUUGUAUCCCAUGUGGACAGACUUUGUAUUAUAGAUGUUUCCAUAUUUUAUGCAGUGUUUUAUGCAGUAGACGCGUAUUGGGUCAGUAUCGAUCAGUGGUAAUUGAAAUUCUACUUAUAAACGAUAAUAGAAUGAAAUGUUGUUAUUAGAGGCGCAAAAUUCUCGGCUACACGCGAGGAGACUGAUCUGUAUCUGCGAAACUGAUAAAACUCCUCUUGUCGAAUUUAUUGCAUGUAAGAAUGGCGAAUAAAGAUUCGAGAGAAACUUAUGGAACAAUGCGAUCUGUGCUUUAUUCAGUCGUGUAAACUGUGAUAAAUAUAUGUAGGAAUAAACCGCAUCAUUGUAUGUAAACGUCGACGAAAUGGCGCGUAAUAAAUAUUGAUGGCUGAGAUUUACAGUUGCAUUUAUCUGCAUACAUACAACUUAGAAACGGUAAUAUUUACCGCGUGAAAGUUUACAGUUUAAUAUUGCGGUAGAAAAUUGUAUUUAUCAAUUUGUAAACAUUAGUUUUAAAUUUAUUAAUACUUUAUCGCGUCACUUUCAAAUUUUAUUGUACGGAGUAUACAUCAAAGAUUGUACAGAUUGCACGAUUGAUAUAAAUCGAUUGUUUUCGGACAUUUCAUUCAAGUAAAUCACUAUGCGUUAUCUUCGAUGCUCGAUAGGAUUUAAAACAAUCGCGCGCUGAUUUCGUCGAAAAACCAAAAAAAAAAAGGAAUUUUCCUUGAAAAUAAAUUAUAAGUAAAACGAAUGUGAUUACACCUGAUGACGUUCAACUUGUGUUUAAUCAUCGACUGUUCCAAGCAGGAGAAUAAAAAGAGUGAUUUUUUCCGGAAUAACGAUAAGACAAACUUUUCUUUCGGAUACUGACUCAUUUUUCUUACGCAAUCAGUAAACGAGCUACGUCGUUUAAGAUUAUUGUCCUGAAAUCAUUAUAUUCACCAUUGUUCCGUACUUCAGAUCGUCCUUCGAUUGAAGAACCGCGAAUGAAUCAUUCGCUAGAAAAUAACUUGCACAAAAGUCAAGAGGAUCCAGUAAUUAUCGUCAAAUAUGUAACAAUUGAUGAAAGAUAAGAAAUUUCUAAGAUGGGAAUACACAAUCAACGAUGAACUAAAUACAUAAAUUUUAAAUUCAUAAUUUUUGUUGAUAAAUUUUUAUCACCAAAGUGCUUAAAGGAACGGUGACCUUAAAUUACCAUAUAAGUAGACUUUGAAACAUAGUGUGAGACACAUUGACGAAUGAUAGUUGAAGAAAUAAAGUGACGGAGAGAAAAUAUCAGCUGAAUAUAAAUCUACGUUCGUUUUUGUUUAUCUUUUAUUCAUCUACUUUUGAUUUAAGAAACCUACGAAUACAUUUAAAUAAAUAACCAAAUAUCAUUUGAGAAACAUACUGUCCCAGUUAAAAAACGUUUUUCCUGAAUUAUUCGGUAGCCUGUCAUCGAAUGUCGACGUAAAGCUUAUGCAAACGAGUACAAAUGUCGCCUAUAUGACUUUUACAUGCGCCUUUGGCGCGACGAUCGCUUUUCCAUGCAAAUUAUCUAUCCUCCAUACGCGCUCUUUUGUUGCUUUUGUACAUCUGACAAUGUAUUCAAGCGGUUUCUUUCUUAUACACGUUACACAUGGAUCAUUGUGAAUGCGAGUGAAGAAACACAAAAUUUCGUCGUAGAAUACGCGUCGUUACUUUUUCAACGUCAAGCUAUCCUAAUAUGGUACCAAUUUACAGUAAAGUUUAAAGAUCAUGAAUUUUUAACUAUGCCUUUUUUCUUACAAGCGAGUCGCGCCUCUUCUUAGGAGCUUUAUUCUUCUCGCCUGAUUUCUCGAGUUACAAGUCAUCCCACUCGACCAGAACCUUUCUGGCAGAGGAUCAGGUUCGAAUUUAUCCCGAUGAAACUGCGAUUUCGACGCUACGAAAAUCGAUAGACAGUGUGGGAACACGUCGUCCUCGUUUCCCGCUUUUAUCUUUUUGCUCUCCUUUCAGUUUCAAUUAAAAGAGCUCGGCGCAUUUUUCACAACAGCAAGAUAAAUACAGAGAACGAUAAGAUUUGUAUUUAUCUAGAAAAUCUUUUUGUGUGUUUCCAAGCUUCUGAAAUUUGAAAUCAUAUCCCCAAUUUCAUCUAUACUGGAUUUCCUGUUAAUUUUUUUAUUAAUUUUGGAGCAGUUAGUUUCUCAAUGUAAAAAGUACGAAAAAAGUGUUGGGCUAACUUUUUUUCUUUAAAUUCGUCGUUUCUACGAAUCGUUCACAGCAAUGAAUCCAAACUGUUGAUCGAUAAUGGACAUACAGGAGUGAGAAAUCGUGUAGAUGUCGAUCUAUUGAUUGCGGAAAGAGUUCUCAGUGAGAAUCGAACGUUCAUAUUAGAGUACAUAUCGAUAACGAGUGACUCAGGGAAUACACGUAGAGACUCGACUACACGUGACAGGAAUGCGUAUUGUGUAUUUGAGAUCUAUAGGAGCGUGAUACGAUUGGGAAAUGGCAGAGUUUUGUGUGAAUAGUUCGCGUAAAUUCAGAAUGGAUUGUUAAAAGUCAGACAUCUAAAUAUCUGACGGAGAAUU